ACGUUUGUUUUGGAGUGCAGGCGUGAAUAGUCCUUUCUGUCCUGCUUUGAGUACUGCUGUUGGGUGCCUUGGGGGGACCUUAAGGGAGCUCGGAAGUUGAGACGUGGUGAGUGCGAGAUCACUGCCCACAAAGGGGAGGAGCAGGCGGAUGAACAGCCAGAGCUGCAAUGGUGGAUCCUCCUCCAGGGCUGCAUGGGACGACAGAUAGAUGAGGCUCUAGGACGGGCACAAAUGCUACCCGAAUGCAAACCACUCCGGAGAUCUGUAAAAGGACUGGCCCCGGACAGGAAGCACACUUUAAACUAGAGGCGGGGUAAGACUCGUGGGCCAAUCAAGGCUUCCGAACAGAACUGCCAUUCUGGCAAUGAGGCGGGGUCUUCCGGUUGCCUGCUGGAAGUUUGUUUUUGCUCUGCAGGAUUGAAGGGUUCUCCCUAUGCUGCUUUGAGCGCUGCUAUUGGGUGCCUUGAGGGGACCUCAAGUAAGCUCCAUUUUUGAAACAUGGAUGCAGUGACUUAUGAUGAUGUGCGUGUGAACUUCACUGAGGAAGAGUGGGAUUUGCUGGAUCCUUCCCAGAAAAGUCUCUAUGAAGAGGUGAUGCUAGAGACAUACCAGAACAUCACUGCUAUAGGCUACAAUUGGGAAGACCAUCAUAUUGAAGAACAUUGUCAAAGUUCUAGAAGACAUGAAAGGCAUGAAAGAAUUCAUAUUGGAGAGAAACCGUAUGAACGUAACCAAUGGGGUAAAGCCUUUGCAAGUGACAAUCAUCUCCAAAUACGUAAAAGAACAAAUACUGGAGAGAAACCUUAUGAAUGUAAUCAAUGUGGUAAAGCCUUUUCACAACAGAGUAGUCUCCAGUAUCAUAAAAGAACAUAUGCUGGACAGAAACCUUAUGAAUGUAAUCAGUGUGGUAAAGCCUUGUCAUGUCAAAGAAAUCUCCAAUAUCAUAAAAGAACACAUACUGGAGAGAAACCCUAUGAAUGUAAUCAGUGUGGUAAAGCCUUCACACAUUACAAUAAUCUCCGAUAUCAUAAAAGAACACAUACUGGAGAAAAACCUUAUGAAUGUAAUCAGUGUGGUAAAGCCUUUGCACGUUACAAUAAUCUCCAGUGUCAUAAAAGAACACAUACUGGAGAGAAACCUCAUGUGUGUGAUCAAUGUGGUAAAACCUUUGCAUGGCAGUAUACUCUCCAAAAACAUAAAAGAAUACAUACUGGAGAGAAACCUUAUCAAUGUAGUCAAUGUGAUAAAGCAUUUUCAGAACACAGUAGUCUUCAAUAUCAUAAAAGAA
rnacentral:lncRNA from 7 species